rnacentral:tRNA from 1 species
ACCUGGCUGGCUGUUGGUGGAGCAUGGGACUCUUGAUCUCGAGACUGUGAGUUGAAGUCUCAUGUUGGGUG